UGACGCAAAUUUCCAAUCCCUUUAGGAAGUCUGGAAAGACACUUACAUCCUUCAAGGUCUAGAAUUUUCAAGUUAUCCAAAGAGCAAAUUGAAUCAGGCAAUUCCUCAACUUUGCUAUGACUUAAAUCAAUCAAUCUUAACUUAUGCAAAUUUCCAAUCCCUUCAGGAAGUCUAGAACAACACUCACAUCCUUCAAGAUUUAGAGUUUUCAAGUUAUCCAAAGUGCAAAUUGAAUCAGGUAACUCCUCAACUUUGCUCCGACUUAAAUCAAUCUUGCUUAGGUGAUGCAAAUUUCCAAUCCCUUCAGGAAGUCUAGAAAGACACUCACAUCCUUCAAGGUCUAGAAUUUUCAAGUUAUCCAAAGAGCACAUUGAAUCAGGUAACUCCUCAACUUUGGUCCCA